rnacentral:rRNA from 1 species
CAUGCAAGUCGAGCGAACUGACGAGGAGCUUGCUCCUUUGACGUUAGCGGCGGACGGGUGAGUAACACGUGGGUAACCUACCUAUAAGACUGGAAUAACUCCGGGAAACCGGGGCUAAUGCCGGAUAACAUAUCGAACCGCAUGGUUCGAUAGUGAAAGACGGUCUUGCUGUCACUUAUAGAUGGACCCGCGCCGUAUUAGCUAGUUGGUGAGGUAACGGCUCACCAAGGCAACGAUACGUAGCCGACCUGAGAGGGUGAUCGGCCACACUGGAACUGAGACACGGUCCAGACUCCUACGGGAGGCAGCAGUAGGGAAUCUUCCGCAAUGGGCGAAAGCCUGACGGAGCAACGCCGCGUGAGUGAUGAAGGUCUUCGGAUCGUAAAGCUCUGUUGUUAGGGAAGAACAAAUGUGUAAGUAACUGUGCACAUCUUGACGGUACCUAACCAGAAAGCCACGGCUAA